GUGAUUUCAGCCACAGAAAUUUGGGAGAUAUGAGUCCUUGGCUCAGCAGAAUGGGACUAGGUGGAGCUUGAAAUUAAUGAAGAGAUGCUGCUUCCAGCUUUUGGGGCAAGAAGAAGUUUGGCCUCAUUAUUACACCUUGAGGUCAGCGGGUAUCUCAAGUCUGAGUAGUUAUAAAAGUGAGCUGAUGUAGUAACACCACCAAAACAACGUUUUAUCUAAAUAUUUCAGAUCCCCCAUAAUAAAUCAUUUAUUAUGAUUACCCUUUUGGUGUCAUGGAAUGAGAUGAUGAGCUUUUCUUAAUGAAGUAUUUCAUAGACAUAUUUUUUCCAUUUAUCUUGGUGUUGGAUGCUAUGUGACCUGAAUGGCAAAUGAGGAAAUACUUGUGCAAAUCCUGAAAUGCACACAUCUCCCCAUGCCAGAGUGCAGGAGUGGACAGGGCUUUCCCUGGCAGCAAUAGGAGCCCGGUCCUGAGUAGGCCCUAUCUA
rnacentral:lncRNA from 1 species